UUGUUUAUUUAUUAGGCGUUCGUGUGGGCUGCCAGCCGGCGAAGAAGAUGCGCUACUUGAACUACUCCGGAUGUCAACUGUUUUAAGUGCCCUGCCCCAACAUGCAGCUUGACCAAGAUGAACCCACACCAACUAGCCAAAAUUUCGACACUGCUCCAGCACCUUCAGUUGCACUGCUAGGCACACUAUGUUGAAUUCUGUGCUCCUCUGUUCACAGAAGAGAGCCAGGACACUCCACUGGAAAUUUCAUUUAACAUUAGAUUGGAGAACAUACUGUGAUGUGACGCAAAGCC